rnacentral:rRNA from 1 species
GACAGAGGAUGCAAGCGUUAUCCGGAAUGAUUGGGCGCUAAAGCGUCUGUAGGUGGCUUUUUAAGUCCGCCGUCAAAUCCCAGGGCUCAACCCUGGACAGGCGGUGGAAACUACCAAGCUGGAGUACGGUAGGGGCAGAGGGAAUUUCCGGUGGAGCGGUGAAAUGCGUAGAGAUCCGGAGGAACACCGACGGCGAAGGCAGCGCCCGUGGACGAGACCUGACGCUCAGGCACGAAAGCUGGGGGAGCAAACAGG